rnacentral:tRNA from 1 species
UGAUCGUAAGUCCCAUCACAACGCAAGCGAGACAACACAGUCAUCGCCCAGUCGUGAUAAGGUCGUAGUAGACGCU